rnacentral:tRNA from 1 species
UGGCUCAGUUGGUAGAGCAUGGUGUUUGCAACGCCAGGGUUGUGGGUUGGAUUCCCAU